GAGAACAUUUUAGAGAGCGCCCUUUCUCUUUAGUCUCCAUUUUCUGCAAUCAGGAUAAUGCAGUGCAUUUCAGAGCCAUUUUCAUUUUUGAAGUGCUCUUUCAUCAUUAGCUAAUAAAUGCUCAUCAAUGAAUUUUCCCUCGGCGUCUUGAAAGUUGGAGGAGAAAGAAAAUCGCUUUCUAUUUCGCCCUCCAUCCCCUCCAAUCCUGGCAUCCACCGUCAUUCUGCUUUCAGCUUCUGAGUUCAUCAAGUGACUGUCAACUCGAGUAACACUGAGAUCUGGACAGGCAACAUGAUUCCAGAGAACAGCCUUUCUUUGACCCCUUCAUCCCCCCGAGAACUCAUGCUUGGCUUCCCAGUCCUCUGUCUCCGGUGAAAAACAUGGAGGAUUUGAACAGCAUGUUGCAUUGUUGACUGUCACUGUGUGCCUUGUCUCCAACCAAGGCGAUGAUUUGAGAUGGGGCCAGCCUUCAUCAGCGUCCUCCUCUUUCUAAACCUCAUUCCUUACGCCGAAUACCCUAGAAAAGUAGGGUAACAAAUUUGGCACUUCGGCUGGACUAGGAGGCAAAGGACAAUGGCAGCCCUGGCUUGACCGUCUGAUUUGGAUUUCAAGGGUGUUUGUUCUGAAAUUCCAACAAAAUGACUAAUUUGACUAGACCUGUGGUGAUCGAAGAUGCUGGUGUUCCCCAUCCUGCUGUUCUCACUUCUCCAGGACCGAGGCCCCGUGGAGGGAACCAAGAUCCUAGACCAUCCCUUAGACAUGAACUGGUUCAUACCUUGCCAGCUGCAUCUCCCUUGCUUCUUCCAGGACAGAGUGGGUUGAAAGAGCCAGCAGGAACUGAAAAGCAUUGUAAACUAAGGAGGAAAAGUAACAAAGAGCUUGAAGACUUUCAUGGAGCCCAGGCCCUGGACGGAGGCAGGCGACAUCAGAGAACCAAGAAAGCUGAGGGGCAGCCAGGAGGCACCUGUGGCUGCAGAGCCCAGGAGAAUGGCCUGAUCAUACCUGUGAUUUACCAGAAAAGAGCCUAACAGAUGUUUGGAAAGAACUCAGAAGCAAGGUCGCCAGGUAGCUCUGAGAGCGACGGUCCAGGUGGGACGCAUAGCCUACUUCUUUGGUCUUGUGCUCCAUUCCCAAGGCUGCUCUUCAACAACCUGCCUGUCACAGGUCACAGCACUGGCUGAGGGCUUUCCGAGGGCAUUUAUUUAAUGGCAUGCCAGUGGCAUUUACUCAUAAAACCAAAAAGCCAUUAAGGCCAGAAAUAGGGAUUUUGGUUACUUCCCCAGACAGGAUGCAGUUGGGGUGAUUAUACAUGUGAUUCAUCGAGGUCGGGAAACAAGUCCUCCGCAAACAAACUCCCCUCCCCUCCCUGCCCAGCCCGGUGACUCACGGCUGCUUCGGCUUGGAAAGCGCUGGAGUCCAGGCCAAACUUGAGGCAUGAUGUUAAGUCAUAAAUCCUCAGCCUUGAUUGUUACCAAAGAAACAUUUUAAUUCAUUCUUUCAAUCAUUGAAGCAAUAAGCAGUGAGCGAACUCUUACUGUUUCAGGCACAGAAGACAUGGAGCUAUCAAACAUAGUAUUUUCCAGUUCAGCUGGGAAAACUGAUAGAGCAUGAGUAGGGCAUCCCAUACUGUCAGAACAGAGAGACGCUAACAGGACAACAAGGUCAGAGGAGAGACCCUCGACUGCUCCGGGAGAGGAAGGGAUGGCGUUGGACUUGCACCCUUUAGCGAACAGUGAUGGAGCAUUUACUGUCUGCCAGGCACUGUUCUAGACAUGACAUUUCACAUUCUUGUGCAGCAAGCUUUCUAGCAAGAGGAUUCAGAUGUUACACAGAGCUGGAAGCCGAACAAACGAAGCUCUAUCCUGGGGGAAUUUACCUUCUUGUGGAGGAGCAUUGGCGAGUGUGACAGCCAGGGCUUCGUUCUAAGAAACAGCAACACAUGCAAAAAGACACAGGAAUCCAGCCCUACUGGGAAAGAAUAGAGGGGAAAAAACCUCAGGUUGGAGAUGCCCAGUGUGACAAGAGGGCUUAUUUAUAACCUGAAUUAGGAUGAACAGUUCCUUUGGCUGGAGUGGACAGAACAUGGAGAUUCUUUUUUUUUAAUUUUUGAUUUUUUAAUUUUUCAUUUUAGGGCUGCACCUGCGGCCUAUGGAAGUUCCGAGGCUAGGGGUUGAAUGGGAGCUGCAGCUUCUGGCCUACGCCGCAGCCACAGCAAUGCCAAAGCCUUAUCCCUCUGAGCAAAGCCAGGGACCAAACCCGCAUCCUCAUGGAUACUAGCUGGGUUCUUAACCUGCUGAGCCACAAUGGGAACUCCUGAACACAGAGACUCUUCUUACAGGGAGACUCUCAGCAUUGAGCCCCCAGACCUUCUGAUUUCUCAGGGCCCAUCAUGUAGUAGGAGUCACUGAUGCAGGAACCUGAGUACUGUGGUUUGGACUCACUGAUGAUGAUUCUGUACCUCUGUCUGACUGUUUUGCCAUGCCCCAGGGCCACAAAGAUAAAAACAUAAGAAACUGGCUGCCUCCUUGCUUAAAUAAUAUUCAGGUCAAGUUCUCUAACAGCCGACUCUGGCUGGGAGGUCAUGCUUAAUUCUCAUUUUAUCAGGCUGUCUAAAAUAACCAGGCCAUGAGGUGGUUAUUGUUAUGGUGCUCAUUGGAAUGGGAUUUGACCUAUAUAAGGAGAAGAACUAGGACGGAAAUAGCUCUCCAGCCCAUCGCAGACUUAGAGAAAACCAGUGUAAGCGGUGGCAGAAUCAGAGCUGGAGGGAAGAGAUGCAAGGUGACUUCAGGUGAUACUGGCACCUGCCUCUAGGCAGAUAUAUGCCUGUCUGGAAAGGUAAUGUAAACUCUAGAAUUCAUUAUUUUAACAAUGCAUCAUAAACAUUUACCCUUCCUGAAUAGUGCUGUUCCCUUCAGGGCAGUGAUGCUGCCUAGCCUUGGGCGAAACAUCUUCGAACCUCCUAUUUGACAGUAGACCUCAGAACCCAUCGCCUUUUCUUUUGAAUAUACUUAGUAGGAGGAAACCAUUGUCUUUGGAGGCUUUUUUGCAUUUUCUAAAAACCAAGUGCCGUAUCCAGUUGGUCCAGCUGAAAUGGUACUAUUUUUGAUUAACAUGAAUUUAAAUGCAGCUAUGAAAUUAUGAGGUGACACUUUUGUUUGGCUCAUAACUGGUUCAAAAGAGACUUACCAGCACUUGCAAACAUAACAAGUGCAUAUUCUCCCAGAUGGCUCAUUUGAGCGUCUGUGAGCUCUGAUACCCUGUGCAGUCUCCUCACUCUGCUUGGUGAACUCCUUGAGGUCAAGGAGGGUGCCUUGUCUCAAAAUAUCCACCUACCCCAGAGGCAGGUGCAUGUCAGGGACUAUUUGGUACAGAAUUAACUAAAAAACAAUAAUGUCAUCACUUUACAGUCCUUUCAGGAAUUUUUUGUCCAUUUUGAUUUUUUUCUUCCUUUUUUUUCCCCACCAAAUAGGAACCCUUUGAGGCUUAUUAGCCAGCAAACAGCAAAGGAAGCAGUCUGUGUGUAUUGAACACUGGUCUGAGAAAAGUUCAGGUUCUGAUGUAAACUCUUUUGUAGAACCUCUUGGGGAAAUUAUGUAAGCCUGUGUCCCCAUCUUUAAAUAAAGAGGUUGAACUCGAUGAUGGAAAUAGGUCUGUUUGAGGAGUAAAAUAUUGAGUAGCUACUUUGUGCCUACCUCUGUGCGUGUUGUGGGAGAUUUUUUUUAAGGUCUUAGCAUUGAUCAGGAUUCUUGUGUUUGCAAGUGGCAGAAACCCAGCUUGACUCAGCUGAGGUAGAAAACCAGACUUCAGGAACGGCAGAGGUGCACCAGAUUCCAGAAACCACUGGAUCAGGGACUGGGGUGCUUCCACAACACACUUCCACCAACUUUCUCCUUGGCUUAUCUCUCUGGGCCAGUUUUAUUUUCUCACUCUGUUUCUUCUGU
rnacentral:lncRNA from 9 species